GUCACAGCCAUGGAUUUGGACAUUUGUGGUGUGACAACAGGUAUGGAUGUCUAUAUACUUUCGCUUUGUGCCACCUUAAUGUUUUUUAUGGUAAUACAAACACAAUAUCUGUUUCUAGCCAAAGUCCCAUUGCUGUCUAGAGAAAAGAAGAUGGAUAGAGGAUAGUCCUGAAGUCUUGGACUGUCUAGGUAGCUACCACCUAGCAAGCUGACCACAAGCAAGAGCUGGCCCCAAUCUGGGGGAGCAAUGUCCUAAGACGUCCUGAACGUUGGUGCGACAGUCCAUGGCUUACUUGAAAAAUAAAACUAAUCUGCCUGCCCUGUACGGACAUAUGCCCCUCAUCCUGCUCAAUGGAUGCAUGUCCUUCCUGCCACACACAGCCAAACUGUUGUGAAUAUCAAUGAAAGGAAGGUACCAAAGUUAAUUAUCAUCAAUUAAACACCAAUAAUGUGCUCAGCAUUGUCCAAGGUAGUCCCUACUCUAAAGUCUGACUGUUCAGUUUGAGAGGCCCAGAGAAAGAGGUCAAAUUUAAAGGAGAGUUCACGUGAUGCAAUGUAUGGGGAUGAUCUGAUAGAGGAGAAAGUAGAAGCCAGGCACACUGGAAUAGCGAGUAAGGCAUGUAUUCAGUACACAGCACCACUGCUGGCAAAGGUA